rnacentral:rRNA from 1 species
UACAGAGGGGGCAAGCGUUCGUCCGGAUUUACUGGGCGUACAGCGCGCGCAGGCGGUUGCGUAUGUGAGCGGUGACAUCCGCGGGCUCAACCCGCGGCGGCCCGCUUACACAGCGCGAGCUGGAGCAGGGAGAGGGAUGUGGAAUACCCGGUGGAGCGGUGAAUGCGCAGAGAUCGGGUGGAACACCAGCGGGCGAAGGCGGCGAUCCUGCCCUGUGACUGACGCUGGAGGCGCGAUAGCGGUGGGAGCAA